rnacentral:rRNA from 1 species
UACGAAGGAUGCAAGCGUUAUCCGGAUUUAUUGGGUUUAAAGGGAGCGUAGGCGGUCUUAUAAGUCAGUGGUGAAAUCUCGUUGCUUAACAACGAACGUGCCAUUGAUACUGUAGGACUUGAGUACAGUUGCCGUUGGCGGAAUGUGUCAUGUAGCGGUGAAAUGCAUAGAUAUGACACAGAACACCGAUUGCGAAGGCAGCUGACGAAACUGUAACUGACGCUGAGGCUCGAAAGCGUGGGGAGCGAACAGG